UGGGGAAUUUUGGACAAUGGACGCAAGUCUGAACCAGCCAUGCCGCGUGCGGGAAGAAGGCCUUCGGGUUGUAAACCGCUUUUGUCAGGGAAGAAACGAGUUUCUCUAAUACAGAGACUUAAUGACGGUACCUGAAGAAUAAGCACCGGCUAACUACGUGCCAGCAGCCGCGGUAAUACGUAGGGUGCGAGCGGUAAUCGGAAUUACUGGGCGUAAAGCGUGCGCAGGCGGUUAUAUGAGACAGAUGUGAAAUCCCCGGGCUCAACCUGGGACCUGCAUUUGUGACUGUAUAGCUAGAGUACGGUAGAGGGAGGUGGAAUUCCGCGUGUAGCAGUGAAAUGCGUAGAUAUGCGGAGGAGCACCGAUGGCGGAGGCAGCCUCCUGGGCCGGUACUGACGCUCAUGCACGAAAGCGUGGGGAGCAAACA
rnacentral:rRNA from 1 species